UCUCUGUGGUACUUAAAGAAUUAGAUAUUUAUAUAAACACUAUUCACCUUAUUUUUCACGACAACAAGGGCGGCGCCAUUUCGCUCAUUUUGUCAACGUUCUUCCGGCCGCAUAGACGAUGAGCAGCUGAGCCAGUGACUGAAGGCGACGUGUUAAGCUUAAAAAGCUCAUUCGAGCGCCUUUAUGUUUCUUUCUUACCAAUUUUAAGCCAACUGAGGAACACCCUUAUCCCAAGUAAUGGUUCGACUACGAUGUUCCGGUAACUUUAAACCACGCCUGGUGUUGAAAAGGUGGCCAGUUUCAGAUGCAUUGAUGUUUAGUGAUGCAGUGGACAACUGUGAGGAUGAUACAAUCAACAUGUUCCUAAACUGUGAUGCAGAAACACAAUGGAAGCAUCUAUCCGUCUCUGACCACAACUACACUUUAAAAUCACAACUCAACCUGAAGCAACAUACAUCUGAUAUGGGAAAACAAUGGUGCGGUUUCCCGGACAGGGCUUAUCCUGGUCCCAGGCGAAAAUGCAUAUUUGAGCUACAAUAAUUUAAAAACACCUUUUACUGACAUACCUCAACAUAUAUUAGUGCCAUUGUUUUGUCACAAGAUGCGCACCAGUCUUGUUUUUUGUAGGAUUUGUUUGUAAAAACUAAAAUGUCCUAAUAUAAUUAAGGCCUAGUCCUGUAAACCCUGUCCGAGAAACUGCUUCUAUGCUUCUGCUUCUGCUUCAUGUGUUGAGCUGGCACAAAUGUACAUAUCUCUGCUGAGAAACAACCAUCUUUGGUUCAGCUUUACACAGGGUUGAUAUUGCAUCCAUUACACAGUCGCCAAGCACUUUACCAGUACAUACACCAACAGCUUCCAGAUAUACGCUUGGGAUCAGCUCCUGAUGACUCCGAUAAAGCUGUGUCUUAAUUUAUUGCAGGGUGGUCUUGCUUUACCGGUUGUAAAGUUACAUUAAACCUUCAUAUGUGAUCAGAUGUCAUGCAGUGAUAUUAAACAUUUACAGUGUGAUCAGAUGUUGUGCAUUUAUAUUAAACAUUUACAAUGCGAUCAGAUGUUGUGCAUUUAUAUUAAAUCUUUACAAUGUGAUCAUGUUGUGCAUUUAUAUUAAAUCUUUACAAUGUGAUCAGCUGUUACCUGUCAUGCAGUUAUAUUAAACAUUUACAAUGUGAUCAGAUGUUGUGCAUUUAUAUUAAACCUUUACAAUGUGAUCA